UUUUGCAUCCAUUUUUCCAAGAUGACAUGUUGUUAGCUAGGUCACUUUUAAUACAGCGUCUCUCCAUUUGUCACUAUUCUCUGUCACAUCAGCUCUCAUUACUGCACACAUCUUCACUCGGAAAGAGAAACUGUUAAUGGCCAGAAGAGUUAAUAGCUUUCAUGCAUCCAUCCAUCUAUCCAUCCACCCUUCUAUACAUUCAUGCAUUCUGAUAUACAGAGAAGCAAAGGCAUGUAGUUCACUUCAUAACCAUUUGGCUUCACUUGACUUGACUUGAGGCAGCAUUCACCCGGGGUGGGUUGAGCUGGCUUCAUUCAUCCUCAAUGCUGCAUCUCUCACAAACGCCGACCAGACCUGGCGAUUUGAGGCUAACAACCACGUGAUCUCCAACCACUCUUUAUUCCAGCGGUGAACGCCGUAAAUAUGGAGGCCUAGGUUGGGUACCAGAUCAGCCUUGACUGUCAUCAGCCAGAUUUCAUACCUGGCUG